GGCAUCUAAGCGUGAAACCGGCCACAAGAUAAGAUAUCCCACUGAUUAAUCAGGUAAGACCCCUGGAAGACUAGCAGGUAGAUAGGCUCAAGGUGUAAGCGUCGUGAGGCGUUAAGCCAGCGAGUACUAAUCGGUCGAGGGCUUGACCUAG
rnacentral:rRNA from 1 species